AGUGAACGCUGGCGGUAGGCCUAACACAUGCAAGUCGAACGGCAGCACAGUAAGAGCUUGCGCUUACGGGUGGCGAGUGGCGGACGGGUGAGGAAUACAUCGGAAUCUACUUUUUCGUGUGGGUUAACGUAGGGAAACUUACGAUCAUACCGCAUACGACCUACGGGUGAAAGCAGGGGAUCUUUGCAGCUUGUGCGAAUGAAUGAGCCGAUGUCCGGCUAGUUAGUUGGCGGGUUAAAGGCCCAGCAAGGCGACGAUCCGUAGCCGGUCUGAGAGGAUGGUCAGCCGCACUGGAACUGAGACACGGUCCAGGCUCCUACGGGAGGCAGCAGUGGGGAAUGUUGGGCAGUGGGCGGGAGCCUGACCCAGCCAUACCGCGUGGGUGAAAGAGGCCUUCGGGUUGUAAAGCCCUUUUGUUGGGAAAGAAAAGCAGCAGGUUAAUACCCCGCUGUUCUGACGGUACCGAAAGAAUAAGCACCGGCUAACUACGUG
rnacentral:rRNA from 1 species